CAAUUCUUUUUCCUGCUGCCCUCUGUAAUUUGUAAACAUACAUAGAUGUGUAUCUAUCUAUCUAUUAUGUGUAACAACAUGUUUCAUGGCAAAAUUGGCAUAUAGCACCAGCCGUGACCUAGCUAUACUGUUGUCUUUUUAAUUACCCAUAUUAGGAAAAAUAUCAGUUGAAUCACUCUUGUUGCUUGGUUAAUUAAAAUUCGUUUCUUGCUUAAUUAUGUUAGUUUCUGGUUUGAAUUGUUUUCUUGUAGAUUGUAAAUUCAGUGUCUCGUAUUUUGGGGUUGUCUGUCGAUGGUCUCUUUCUCCUUUAAUUUUUUUUUUUUUUUCAUUUACCUUUUAAAGUUUGCUUCUUGGCCACUUUGGACUAUAGUUUUACAAUUGCAUUCUGGGAUUUUUGAAUUUGGACAGUUUUGAGAGUUUCACCAUUGUUCUGACUUCUGAGUGAUGUAGGGUUUUAAUUUGGUGGGCUGGUUUCCAGUUUUGGGGAACUGGGGGGGUACCUUAAUGUGGUAUGAAUUGAUUAUUUAGUAUUUUCUUUUACGAGAGAUUGCCGUCAGUUAUAGCAGUACGGGCUACAGUUUGCAUGCAUUUCUCCAAAUUGAGCUGAAAAAAGAAAGAUUAUUUGAAUUCUAGCAGGCAACAUAAUGAGGAUCUUUUUGUCACUUUUUUAAAGAUUCAGGUGGCAUAGUUAGUUAUUCUUCGUCUUUCUUUUUCGUUCUUUGUCUUUCUGUGUCAUAAUUACUUUCCGCGUCUCUGUUUGUUUAAUGGGUGCACCAGAAACAGUCGAGCUGUAUGCUUGUGUAAAUAUCUGGAUGUGUGUUAUUUAUGCAAUAUGUUUAAUUAAUUGUAAUGAGCUGGAUAAGGAGUAGCAUUACUAAUGGCUUAGUGACAUCUUUGGCAAGUGUGACUCCACAUUCACUUAUAAUCUAUUUUGAAGCAAUUUCUGGAUGGCGUUAGUUCUGGUAUCAAUUUAUCUAGAAAUAUUGAUAGUAAGUGUUGUUAGUUGCUACACAAGUUUUCUCACUGAUUGAAGAUUUUUCUAAUUAUGAUAUUUGCUUUAUUAUUUCCUUAUGAGGGUAGCAGUUUAUGUAUUUUAUAACUAUAAAAAAAUUGUUGAUCAUGGAUCUGGAUUAUAACAUUUUGAAUUUUUAAAAACUUUAGUUUAUUUUAUUUUGUUCUCACUUCUUAGGAAAUUUGUGUUUUCACCCUUAAAGAGCUUGAAAUUACUCAUAGAACAAGGCAGGCUAAAAAGAUGCUGUUUGCUGCUAUUCUAUCUAUUUGUGCAUCUAGUUCGAGGAAGAAGAGUUUCGAGAAAUUGUCCUGAGGUUUUGUUAUAAAUAUGUUGAGGAUAGAGUGUUGGAGUUAAUGAUGCGAUAAGGAAAAAAUGAAGUAGGAAUUCUCUCAUACUUCUCACUUCUAUAUGCACUGUACCUUCCAGAAAACUGAAAGUUAGUGGUUGGUGAUUUGAUCAAGUAAAAAUGACAACUUGAAAUUUUUCCUAAAUAUUUUUUUCAAACAAAUGGAUAAUGGACUUAUUGGGGCUGCUGACCUUUCAUUUGUGUGUAUUCAUUGUGCUGAAGUUGAUGCUUGGUGGGUUAAUUCUUUCAUAUUUCUUAUUUAUGACUUUUUAGUUCAUCCUGGUUGUGCAGGUACAUUGAAACACGAGGAACUUGUACUUUGUUUUAUGAUAAAUAUUAUAUUUCCACAAUUCUCUUCGUUAUUAUUGAGUCAGAUGAUUCAUGAUUGGUUGAUAGUUUUUAUUUUGUAUAUGAUUUAUGGAGCAUAAUUGUGCAUUGAGCUAUGGUUACUUUGCAGACAAUGAUACUUAAUUCUGUUUGAUCUCUCCUCAUCUCUUUCUAGUAAAAUGUGAUUAAUAGCUGUCUUGCCAAAUAUGAAUAUGAAAGAACAUAUUUUUUGUGCUAAUCCCUCUUCGCGAUUAACAUUUAAAUUAGAUAUGAACUUCUAAUAUCAUUUUAAAAUUUCUGUUAAUCCUAGAAUUUCCCUUCUGUGUGGGCAGGCUGUCCUGGAUUACCAACUCAACCUUCAUAACAAGCUAAGCACAAAGUUCUGAAAAAAGCUAAGCAAAAACUUAUUGAUUGCACUUAUUAUAAAAUUUAAGAUGAGCUUGCGCCAUUACAUUUCCUUUCUGGACUGAAUAAAAAUGAGUAGUUUAAGGUUUGCUCUUAGAAAUUAGAACUUCUGAAUGAUAAAUAAUUAAUGCUAUAAGAAUGCACCGAGUUUUGAAAGCCAGCAGGAGUUGUUAAUGUCCUGUUCCCUCUUCUGAGACUGAACUUCAGCCAUCAUAUUUGUUGCUAGGUUAUAACUUUCAUCAUGGGGUCUUCUCUAUAGGUUAAAUGUAUACGAGUGCUGUAAAAAGUUAAACUCCAUUUCACUUGAAGUGCUGUAAGGAUUUUAGCUGAUAACAUAUUUCAUUUUCUCAGGUGCUGUAUCGUAUGUGUAUCUAACCUUCUCCCUACUGCCACUUUCAAUUUUCCUUUGGGCUGUGGAGCGGCAGGCUCAUUUUUGCAGAUUAUGUUAUGCACAAAAGCUGGCAGUACAUUAUUUUAGUGUUCAAUUAUGGAAGUGCUUCCAUGUUCUGGUGCUCAUCAUGUUGGAGAGUCUGAUUGCCCUAAACCAGAACAAGAAGCAGCUUUUAAGGAUGAUGGUGCAGAUUAUGUUAGAACGGAUCUCAAAUUUGAUGACUUAACUCUUACUGUUGGAGAAUCUCAUGAAGUAAGAGAAGAUGGAGGUCGGUUUACACUAGAGGGUUUCCCUACUUUAGAUGGCGGCUCUAAUGAGGAUACAUACUUUGAUUAUGAAAUUGAUGGUCAAACUCUCUCAUGUUACUCCCAUGAUUCUGAAGAUGACAACUUUGAGAAAAUAGAUCAUUUUGCUGAACCUUGCCUUACAUUAGAAAACUCUCACCUAAUCUCAAAUACAAUAGAAGGUGGAGUGUCAAAUGACCACCAGGAGGGUUCACCUCAUUUUGAAAUCAAAGGCCUAGAUGAACCCCAAGCGGUUUGGGUAAAGUGGAGAGGACAGUGGCAGUCAGGGAUUAGAUGUGCAAGGACUGACUGGCCAUUAUCAACUUUAAAAGCAAAGCCAACUCAUGACAGGAAACAAUAUCUUGUGAUAUUCUUUCCUCGCACCCGAAAUUAUUCUUGGGCAGAUGUGCAACUAGUUCGUCCAAUCAACGAAUUUCCCAAUCCCAUUGCAUAUAAGACGCACCAAGUUGGUAUAAAGAUGGUUGAAGAUUUGACUCUUGCUCAUCGUUUUAUCAUGCAGAAGUUGGCUGUGGGGAUGCUAAAUAUUCUUGACCAAUUGAACCGUGAGGCUUUGAUAGAGAGCGCUCGUGAUGUGAUGGUCUUGAAGGAUUUUGCCAUGGAGGCCUCCCGCUGUAAAGAUUAUUUUGACCUUGGAAAGAUGCUUUUGAAACUUCAGAAUAUGAUACUAAUGCGCUGCAUAACUUCAGAUUGGCUACUCAAGUCUUCGGAGUCCUGGAAGCAACGAUGUCAUGAUGCAAAUAGUGCAGAAUGCGUAGAAAUUCUAAAAGAGGAAUUGGCCGACUCCAUCUUAUGGAAGGAGGUAAAUUUACAAUCAAGUGAAGCCGCACAGUUGGACGAGGGAUCUGACUGGAAGAGCUGGAAGUCUGAGGUUAUGAAAUGGUUUUCAGUUUCACAUCCUAUAUCUACAGCCGUGGCCUUGGACCAACCUGUUAGUGAUAGCCCAUUGACCAUGGAACUUCAGACGCCCAAGAAGAGGCCUAAGCUUGAGGUCCGUCGUGCUGAUACACAUGUGUCUGGUCCACAUCAAUCUGUACCUGUUGAGACUGAUGCCUCCUUUUUCAAUGGGUAUGUAAACUCGGCAUUAUUGGAUGCUGAAACUCUGAAAAGAAACAGUCACAUUGAGGAUGCUGCCCUUGCAGGAUCUACAAGUUGUGCAGCUAAUAGUUGGAAUAAUAUAGUAAUUGAGGCUGAAAAUGUGGCGGUUACUAAGACUAGAGAUGUGGACCUGACUCCUUCCAGCGUUGUUACUCAGAAGUUUGCAGAAUCAGGAAAUCAUAAUCGACAAUGCAUGGCUUUCAUUGAAGCUAAAGGAAGACAAUGUGUGAGGUAUGCCAGUGAGGGAGAUGCAUACUGUUGUGUGCAUCUGUCCUCUCGUUUCAUUGGCAGUUCUGCUAAAGCUGAAGUAACACCUCCCACUGACUCACCAAUGUGUGGAGGUACCACAGUGCUCGGAACUAAAUGCAAGCACAGAGCUCUAAUUGGUUCUUCAUUCUGCAAGAAACAUAAGCCGCAUGAUGGCAAAAACAUUGCAUCUCCUGUUAAUAAACUUAAAAGAAAAAGUGAAGAAAAUCAUAUGUAUCCAGAGGGCACAAGUCCUACUACAUUGGUUCUUUCGAGAGAAGACGAAAUUCCUGCCUAUCUAGACCGACUGUUGUUGGAUAGGGGAAAAGGUCACCUUCAAGAAAGCAGUGUCAGCGAGAAGACCGAGCAGCCUCAACAAACCCCUCCCAGCAAUGAAAUGGUGCAAUGCAUAGGUUCAUGGCCCCAGGUUGGCGAACCCUGUCUAGAUAGUCCCAAAAGGCAUUCACUAUACUGUGAUCAACAUAUACCAAGCUGGCUUAAACGGGCAAGAAAUGGCAAGAGUCGGAUAGUUUCCAAGGAAGUGUUCAUGGAACUUCUGAAAAAUUGCCAGUCAAGGGAGCAAAAAUUGCAAUUACACCAAGCAUGUGAACUUUUCUACAGGCUUUUAAAAAGCAUAUUAUCUUUAAGAAAUCCAGUACCUAAGGAAGUACAAUUUCAAUGGGCCAUUGCUGAAGCUUCCAAAGACACCAGAGUAGGGGAAAUUUUGAUGAAAUUGGUCUUCAAUGAAAAGGAGAGGUUAAAGAAGCUAUGGGAUUUUGGAGAUGGUCAAAGCUUGCAAGCUCUAUCGACCAUUGAAGAUUUGGUACCGGUUCAGGUGCAGAUGCUUAAAGAUAGUGUUGAAGAAACUGUGAUCAAGUGUAAAAUAUGCUCAGAGACACUUACUGAUGACCAAGCACUUGGAAAGCACUGGAUGGAUAGCCACAAGAAAGAAGCUCAAUGGCUAUUUAGGGGCUAUGUAUGUGCAAUUUGCCUGGAUUCUUUUACCAAUAGAAAGAUUUUGGAAGCUCAUGUGCAAGAGAGGCAUCAUGUGCAGUUUGUCGAGCAGUGCAUGCUUUUGCAAUGUAUUCCAUGUGGCAGUCAUUUUGGGAAUCCAGAUGAGUUAUGGUUGCAUGUACUCUCAGUUCAUUCCUCCAAUUUGAGUUUGUCAAAUGCCGCUCAACAGCAAGAUACCAGUUCAUGGCACAAAAUAGAGACAAACAAGUUAGGUUCUGUUGAACAUGCGAAGUUUGAUAAUCAGUCAGUUAACCGGAGAUUCAUUUGCAGGUUUUGUGGCUUGAAAUUUGAUUUGUUACCUGAUCUUGGUCGCCAUCAUCAAGCUGCUCAUAUGGGAGAGCAGACUUCCAGUGGUCCCCGCCUGAAAAAGAAGGGUAUUCAAUUUUAUGCUCAGAAACUGAAAUCGGGUAGACUGACUCGUCCUGGGUUUAAAAAGGCUUUGACUUCAGCAUCAUAUAAGAUUAGGAAUAGAAGUGUGCAAAAUUUAAAGAAGCGUAUCCAGGCUUCGAGUUCUAUUGUCCCAAUGGAAAUCAUGGUGCAAACUUCUGUACCAGAUGCUGCUACUCUUGGUAGAUUGGCAGAUUCUCAAUGCUCAGCUGUAGCUAAGAUAAUGAUUUCUGAAAUUAAAAAAACAAAACUGCGUCCCAAUAAUUCAGAAAUUCUGUCAAUUGCCAGCUCAGCUUGCUGUAAGGUUAGUCUGCAAGCUUCAUUAGAGGAAAAGUAUGGAGUCCUGCCUGAAAGGUUGUACCUAAAAGCUGCUAAACUAUGCAGCGAGCAUAAUAUUAUAGUUGAAUGGCACCAAGAGGAUUUUAUUUGUCCUAAAGGGUGUUCGCAAAGUGUUAGGUCUCAGUUUUUUUCUCCGCUGGUUCCAUCAUCAAACAUUACUUUCAAGGCUAGAUGUUCUCCCAUACCUAACCUUUUGAGUUCAGAAUGGACAUUGGAUGAAUGUCAUUGUGUUAUUGAUUCCCGGCAUUUUUCCUUGGAUCUCUCUGAGAAAAAUGUUAUUUUAUGUGAUGAUAUAAGUUUUGGACAAGAACCUGUGCCGAUAGCUUGUGUGGUGGAUGAAAAUAUUUUGAAUGCCGAGGGGCCUGAUGGGCAAAUUACAGAGUAUUCUUUUCCUUGGGAAAGCUUUACUUAUGUUAGAAAGCCAAUGCUUGAUGAUAACCUUGUUCUUGAAUCAGAGAGUUCACAAUUGGGGUGUGCUUGUGCUCAUUCAACAUGUUCUUCUGAAACAUGUGAUCAUGUGUAUCUUUUUGACAAUGAUUAUGAAGAUGCAAGAGAUAUUUAUGGAAAGCCUAUGCACGGAAGGUUUCCUUAUGACGAGAGAGGUCGCAUUAUAUUGGAGGAGGGUUAUCUUGUAUACGAGUGCAAUCAGAGGUGCUCUUGCAGCAGAGCUUGCCAGAACAGGGUUUUGCAAAACGGAGUGCAAGUGAAGUUGGAAAUAUUUAAAACGGAGAGAAAGGGUUGGGCAGUAAGGGCUAGGCAAGGAAUUCCUUGUGGUUCCUUUGUGUGCGAGUACAUUGGUGAGGUCAUAGAUGAAAAGGAAGCAAAUGAGAGACGCAGCAGGUAUAGUACAGAAGGUUGCAGGUAUUUUUAUGAGAUUGAUGCUGCCAUCAAUGACAUGAACAGACUAAUGGAAGGGCAGGUCUCUUAUGUGAUUGACGCCACAAAUUAUGGAAAUGUUUCUCGUUACAUUAACCAUAGCUGUUCUCCCAAUCUCAUGAAUCAUCAAGUUCUAAUAGAAAGCAUGGACAGUAAGCUAGCACAUAUCGGUCUCUAUGCAAGCCGUGAUAUAGCUUUGGGUGAGGAAUUGACGUAUGAUUUCCGAUAUAAGCUGUUACCCGGAGAAGGAUGCCGUUGCGAAUGUGGGGCUUCAAAUUGCAGGGGAAGGCUUUACUAAGGUGUUGAGAGGGUGAAAGUGGUUUCAGUCAUGGACUGGAGCCUUAAGCAGAGGAAUCUAACGUAGAUGAAUUCAGUGUCUGAGGAAUUGAUAAAAAUGACCAGCGCUCUCCACAAAAGGAACUAAAGGCAGCGUCGACCAAAGUAUGAAGAGUCAGCGCCGAGUAAAUAUCUGACAUAGUAUCCGACAAAAGUUGCUAGUUAGUUAUUGUUAAUGCUAAUGUUGAAAGGAACGCGAUGAAGGACAUGCAGCGUACAUGAGAUGCUUGUUUUACCAUUUUAACCUUCUUGUAUCUCUCUUAUAAAUAGCUAGUUCUCUAUAUUUGUAAGGUUUCCGCUAUCUGAAUGCAACAAUCCUCAAAAUUUCUCUCUAGUGUUUUUCG